rnacentral:lncRNA from 1 species
GGGAGGGGUAGCUGAUCAAUGGCAGGACGGAGUGUUUCUGGGACUUGUGGCCAGAUCCUACCUAAAUAUCACACCACUGAGAUACGACCUCUACACUCUUCAUAACUUUGUAAUGCUUGGUCUCUCAGAAUUCUGCAUUCUUAACAAAAAGUCCUUCAAUAAGUUUUUGGUGUUAAAGUCCCUACCCUGUUUCCGCCAUCACUGCGGCUGUUCUCUCCCUCAGUCCCAGCUAUUAUUUUCCUCUUGUGGUUCAGUAACCAGAAUGGUACACAGUAUUUCAGAAUCGGAAAGUAUUUUUAAAUGAGAACGGGAGGAGAUAAUCCAGGUGCUUGUCCUUGACAGUGUCUGCAUGGAGGAUAGUGGAUUCUGGAGCCGGGAAGCCAGAGAAUCACCUGCCUGGAAGCAGUGGC